GACGAACGCUGGCGGCGUGCUUAACACAUGCAAGUGGAGCGACGAACCAGGCUUCGGCCUGGGGCAGAGCCGCGAACGGGUGAGUAACACGUGGGUAACCUGCCCCGAUGACUGGGACGAACCCGGGGAAACCCGGGCGUAAUACCGGAUGUGCUGCCCUCGCAUACGCGAGUGCAGGAAAGGAAGCUUCGGCCUCCGCUUCGGGAUGGGCCCGCGGCCCAUUAGCUUGUUGGUGAGGUAACGGCNCACCAAGGCCGCGAUGGGUAGCUGGUCUGAGAGGACGAUCAGCCACACUGGGACUGAGACACGGCCCAGACUCCUACGGGAGGCAGCAGGUGGGGAAUCUUGCGCAAUGGGCGAAAGCCU
rnacentral:rRNA from 1 species